rnacentral:rRNA from 1 species
AUUGAACGCUGGCGGCAGGCCUAACACAUGCAAGUCGAACGAGUGGCGGACGGGUGAGUAAUGUCUGGGAAAGUGCCUGAUGGAGGGGGAUAACUAAUGGAAACGGUAGCUAAUACCGCAUACCAUCAGAUGUGCCCAGAUGGGGUUAGCUAGUUGGUGGGGUAACGGCGCACCAAGGCGACGAUCCCUAGCUGGUCUGAGAGGAUGACCAUCCACACUGGAACUGAGACACGGUCCAGACUCCUACGGGAGGCAGCAGUGGGGAAUAUUGCACAAUGGGCGCAAGCCGGAUGCAGCCAUGCCGCGUGUAUGAAGAAGGCCUUCGGGUUGUAAAGUACUUUCAGCGGGGAGGCGUUACCCGCAGAAGAAGCACCGGCUAACUCCGUGCCAGCCGCCGCGGUAAUUC